CUAAAAUUGAGAAUUAAAAUUUACAAUUUUAUAAAUUUUAGA
rnacentral:tRNA from 1 species